AGUGAACGCUGGCGGUAGGCCUAACACAUGCAAGUCGAACGGCAGCACAGUAAGAGCUUGCUCUUACGGGUGGCGAGUGGCGGACGGGUGAGGAAUACAUCGGAAUCUACUUUUUCGUGGGGGAUAACGUAGGGAAACUUACGCUAAUACCGCAUACGACCUACGGGUGAAAGCAGGGGAUCUUCGGACCUUGCGCGAUUGAAUGAGCCGAUGUCGGAUUAGCUAGUUGGCGGGGUAAAGGCCCACCAAGGCGACGAUCCGUAGCUGGUCUGAGAGGGUGAUCAGCCACACUGGAACUGAGACACGGUCCAGACUCCUACGGGAGGCAGCAGUGGGGAAUAUUGGACAAUGGGCGCAAGCCUGAUCCAGCUAUACCGCGUGGGUGAAGAAGGCCUUCGGGUUGUAAAGCCCUUUUGUUGGGAAAGAAAAGCAGCAGGUUAAUACCCCGCUGUUCUGACGGUACCCAAAGAAUAAGCACCGGCUAACUUCGUG
rnacentral:rRNA from 1 species